rnacentral:SRP_RNA from 1 species
GCCGGGUGUGGUGGCUCACGCCUGUAAUCCCUGCAGUUUGGGAGGCCGAGGUGGGUGGAUCACCUGAGGUCAGGAGUUAGAGACCAGCCUGGCCAACAUGGUGAAACCCCAUCUCUA